GAUAGAUGAUCCUUAGAGACUACUGACUUUGUCUACACUGGAUCCAGGAUGUGCCAUGCAAUUCAGAUGCCUGAUCCAAAUGCCCUAUUUUAUUCUUGAAAGAGAGGUGAAAUCUCUAAUUUUGCAGAAUUUGAUUUAUCCCUCCUCUUCCCCAAAAUCUCUAAUUUACUUUGUCCUGGGAAUAACCUCAUUUGUUCAGAUAGAGAAGAGACUGAAGAAACAUUAGAAAGAAGCAGAGACAGGAUGGGAGAUUUUUUACUUAAUAGGAAAAGGAUGCAUUGGUCAGUAAGCAUUGGCACAUACAAGAACACAUACUUUACAUUUAAAUUUCCUAAUAAAGGUGUAGUAAAUAAACA
rnacentral:lncRNA from 1 species